ensembl:miRNA
UCAAGGUGUGUCUGCAGAGUCCUGACUGCGUGCCAGGGGCUCUAUCUGGCACAUUUCUGA